rnacentral:rRNA from 1 species
UACGGAGGGGGCUAGCGUUGUUCGGAAUUACUGGGCGUAAAGCGUACGUAGGCGGCUUUGUAAGUUAGAGGUGAAAGCCCGGGGCUUAACCCCGGAAUUGCCUUUAAGACUGCAUCGCUUGAAUCAUGGAGAGGUGAGUAGAAUUCCGAGUGUAGAGGUGAAAUUCGUAGAUAUUCGGAAGAACACCAGUGGCGAAGGCGACUCACUGGACAUGUAUUGACGCUGAGGUACGAAAGCGUGGGGAGCAAGCAGG